rnacentral:lncRNA from 1 species
ACAAACGAGAUAGAAAGAUAUUGGUUGUUACAUAAGUUCGUUCGUAUUUUGGCGCGCAGAUAUUGACGCCUAUUUGACGGAAAAUAUUUAGGUGGAGGGGAUAUUUUCGUAACGUCAGUUGCGUAGUGUACACUUGUGGCUACAUUUUAGUGUCAAAUUUAUUUAAUUUUGCUACUUAGUUUGUGAUCACGUGUAUAGUCAAAUGGAAGAGGAAAAUGAGCAUUUUCGGCAUAUUAUGAUGUAUUACUUUCGAAAAGGGAAAAACGCAACCCAAGCAGCGAAAAAAAUAUGCGUCGUACAAAAGUGGUAUGCCAGGUUCAGAAGCGGACAAUUCAGCCUUAAGGGUUGCGAGCGCUUCGGCAAAAACGAAGCCUUCUGGAGAGAUGGCAUUAUGCAAUUGCCUGAACUUUGGGUCAGAGUGAUACAAAAUAAUGGACAAUACAGUUAAUAAUAAAAGCUUUUAUUUUAGAAUGUAUUUUGCUUUGAAUUAAUGUCAAAAAACCGAACGAAUUAAUGUGACAACCCAAUAAAAAGAAAAUACAUCGUAGGGUUGCCUUUUGAUCUACACCGUUUGGCAUAUCUUUUGAAGAUGAACAUUUACGUCAUAGAUGUUAGGAAAAAGAGAGGGAGAAAGAAAAA